rnacentral:lncRNA from 1 species
UCUGCUAUAUGCAUGUAAACCCAGAGAGAAGUACCAGUUUUUCGGCAGGUGGGUAACUCAAAAGCCUGCUGCUGUAGUCCCCACUCCCUACCUAGAGGCCCCAAAACCCUAGCUUUGAUGAGAAGAUGAUGAUGUAAAAAGAAGAGAGUAAAAAAAACAAUAACUAUAAAUAUAUAUGUAGCAUGUAACUGAAGCUUUAGCUCUGACUGGUCCAGUCAACUUGCUGUUUAUCGAACAGAGAAAUACAUCAGCGCAGAAGAGGUUAAAUCAAAAGAAAGGAGCAGUUAUGUUGUCAUUUAUGGGAUAUGGAAGGAACUGACCAUAAGAUAUUUAGCACCAGACUGUAAGAUUCUCGACAUCUGCUUCUUUUCCUUCUCCAAGUACAAUUCUAGAAAGAGGGCUUCAUUACCUUAAGUCCCCUAGUAGAAGAAAAAAAAAGGACAUAUAUAUAUACACUUCGCUAAUAUAAUCUAAAACAACAUGAUUGUUGUUACUCUGAACCUAUAGCCUUUGAAGUUGGACCCAUAACUGUGAUAAGCCAAAAAAGAAGCAAAGAUGGAAAUACCAGAAAGGUUACCACAUCUCUCCCUCCCUCCCUCUGGAGCUGUAGCGUAAUAUAUAUUCUAUGUUUUAUAUAUACAUAUAUAUAGCUCAUUCAAUUGUUUAUUGCUAUCUCAAAGUAAGUGUAUUCUUCAAUAAAUAAUGUAUACAGCAUAUUGUUGAUCUACUCAAUAUGUGCUCCGCUAAUCUACCGGCCCUAGCAUUUAAUUACUGGUCAAAUGGACAUUAAUGAAGAAAAGUAUUAGUGACAAUUGGGUUUCCCUUCAUGUAAACUUUGUGUGUGCAUGCAUGCAUGCAUGCAAAAUAUAGUUUGACGGACUUCAUAUUAAUCAAACAGACUAAGUCGCCUUUUUCAUUCCGUAAACAUUUGUGGUUUAGAACUUUUAGAUGUAUUUUUGUUUAGUGUCUUUUUUUUGGGUGACUAUGUGUUGGAAAGGAAGAAUUAAUACUUGACAAAAUGCAACUUAGUUGAGUUAUUUACUGAAUUUCAAUCCUUAUUACUAUUGAAUAUUAAUAUUAAAAAUAUCGUUCUCUAAUAGCUUUAGCAUUUGGAGAAUAGCAGCUAUUUUAUAUAAUUUAACAUGGUAUUAGAUCAUUAGGGUCGAGUCCCUGCCAUGCUCCUUUCGACAUUUACUAUCUUUUUAUUUAAUAAAGUUUCAUAUCUUGAAUUUGUUAAAAAAGUCUCAAACUUAGACAUAAGGAAUAGGAUUGUAAACAAAUAUUGUUUAUACUGCUCUUUACUAGUUUAAAGUUUCAAAGAACCAUGGUUGUUUUAUAUUAUUUAACAAUUACAACGGUAUUAUGCAUUUUGUUUUUGGGAGAGAGAAAGCAAAUAUGCAAUCUACCUCGUUUACUUUAGCCUUGCUGAGUAUGGUAUCAUGCAUAUUAGACACACUAUAGUGGCCUUUUCUGUAUAUGGAACUAAAUUCUAUUGUUGCUGAGCACGGUGGAAAAUAUUUUUGCUUGAGCUUCUGUAUUAGUGUAUGUGCAGAUUCAAUUAUUAAGAAGCCUUGCAGUAGCAUUCAGUGUAAUAGUUAUCGAUAUAAAGUUUGUUGUGGGAACAAUUACUUGUUGCAGAUAAUAGAUUUUCUGGGAAAAUAUAUAAAAUAUUCUAUCCAUUGACCAAUGAUGGGACAUGCAUAAUGUCUCUUCUUUUUUUUUUCUGGUGGACUAUACUUUUCUUACUAGAUUUAGUCGCUACGGGUAAUGUUAUAGAGUUUCUUUUCCUCGAACUCAUCCAAUUCUUCUUAUAUAUUCAAAUGAUACGGUAAUCAGAUAAACCUAUCUGCUUCCAUCAUCACCAGCAUAAAUGAUAAUUUUCAAAGCUAAAAUCUACCAGCUGGGAAGGUUAGUGUUAGUGUAUAUGGCUCGACAAAAGCUAAUUAAAUUACUAGUAGCCACAAUACUCGCUUUGUGAUCUUUUGUAAAGUUAUCUAUUAAUUAAGCACGUCCGAGGCUCGUCAAUUUUGUAUUAGGUGAAUUAGUGUGACAGCUUCAGCAUAAAAUGACCAUAAGAUCUCUCGUCGUUCUCGAGAAAAGCAGCUUUUCUGACGUUUCAGUUCUUGCUGUCGAUUUUCUUACUAUAGUUUGUUUACUCGUGGAUUCCAGUAAAAGCAAUUCCCUUUAACAUUCUAUUACAUUCUUCUUGCAACAUGCUUUUUCUGGUCUAUUGAUAUACGCAUAAAAACUUACUCAGUAAUUUUUACAUCUGUAUAUUUUCUCGGGGUCAUCUUCCCUGUAUAUAUAUAUCCACACAUAUGCACGACUAGAAACACUCGAGCCAACUAAUAUAUAUAUAGAAUUAGACUGGAAUACUAUUAAUAAUAAAAUUCUCUUUUUGCUAUCAAAUUUUUAAUCUUAGGAUAGAAAAUUGUAGGGUUAGGAUGAUAUUAGUCAGUUAGAGUGGUUUCCCUAGGAUUGAGUGGUCCCUACUGGGUUAUAAUAUUUAAUCCAAUGAUUAGAAAUGAUGAAAAGAGUUAAUCCAAAGGCUAAAAAAUUGGUAGCAACAAUAGAAUUUUACUAUUAAUAAUAGCCCAGUCCAACUAUAUAUAUAUAUANUUUAUCAAGUGUUUUCUCGAUAGUAACAAAAGAAAAAAUUGCUCCGUAAAUUUCGUACCCCUGUGGGGAACACAAUUUUAUCCUUAGAUAUAAAUACUGAAUCAACACGAAAUAAACUCAUCUAGCUAAAAGCUUAGUGUCUGAUAUAAAUAAAUAUAAAUUUCAUGUCUCUAUCAUUUGCUGUCCUCCCUGCUUUUCGCCUGAUUUGUUAGCUUGUAAUCUCUCCCUCAACAUCUUUUUUGUCAGCGAUUAGAGGUAAUUCCUUUUCUUGUACAGCCCUGCAGUUAUCUCUUUUCACAGUUCUUAUUAGCAGGGUUAUCUCUCUUCACAGUUCUUAUUAACUUCCUCGGUUAUCCGCACACACCAUUUAAUUAACCAGGGUUGAUCGACAGAAAUUAAGUACUCAUUAGCUAAAACUUAAUUUAUUCCGACAUAAUUUUUGCUUAAAUUUAUUAAAAUUCUAUUAAUUUGACACGAGAAAUAUUGCAUGUGAGAUUGACCUGCUGAUGCGCCAGCUCUCCUUCGCAGUAUUGCUUUUCGAUCUCCUUCGCAGUAUUGCUUUUCGAUAAAACAAUCAUUAUGAACCUUAGAGGUAAUGACCAAAAUUAGGGUAGGCAGAUCUCCUGUGCCAAAUUUGGACAUUCAAAACACGCUAAGGAGGCAUAGGGACAAAGUAGAGCGUGACCAACGCAAGAAACGCUUCGGAAUUGAUACACCGUGUAACACGAUCGAAGAAAUCAGCAGUAUAUAUACAUCUCAAACACUAGUAGCGAACAAGGUUGGUAGGGCCAACAUGACUCACAUGUGAAGUUCAGCUUCCUGCUCAUUUGACUCGUUUUUAUUUCAUUUUAUUGCAUUUUCUUCUACUGGAGAACUGGUCCCUGCCAUCCUUACUUGACCCACAUCCCUAGUGGAGUUCCAACUCAGAAACUAAAUCCCCACCCAAAAAAAGGCCACAGACGGGUUGAAGUUUGCGCUUCGAACUCGGCCAAGCCCGCCCAACCAACUGGACCAGUUGUUAUUAUUAUACCCACGUUAACGGGGCACAAUGUUUAAAAAAAAAACCACCCCUAGCCCAGUUUCACGCCCCGUUAUGCCGCCUCAGUGUUUUUGGUUGGAUGAAACCCGACCUCCACAAACAGGCGACUUUAGGCCGUACUCUGAUCUCGAUAUCCCGCAGGCGAGAGGCGAAGUUGCAAGCUCCAGCUGUAGCGGAGCUUGCGACCUCUUCUCACAGCCCAUGCGAAGCGGCUGCACGUCGCAAUGACUUCCGCCUCCUCCAAGUUUGUGGAAUCACCAGCUUCCACCUUCCACUUUGUCGUUUCAAACAGCUCCUCAGCUGAAAGAUAUAUCCAGUCGGUGACGAUGGCACUGAAUCGAAUAUUGCCCCUUCUAUUCUUCAUAUCAGGGAACCAUCAUAUCCUCUGGAGUGAAUAAAGUUUAAAUACAAUCAAUCCAAAACAAAAGUUGAUCUCUAAAUCAUAAUUCUUUAGAUACACGAUCAAUCCAAAACAAAAGGUAAUCUCUAAAUCAUAAUUCUUUACAUACAAUCAAUCACCUUGUACGCAGACCAAAAUUUCACAUUAUCAAUCGGUCAAACUGUCCUGAUAAAAAUUAUCAAACGGUCAAACUGUCCUGUUGUUAUCACAAAAGACAAUUUCUAUUCUGCUCACAAAAUAAUACGCAUCCAAAGAGGCUUGCUUGACAGAAUCAGAAAGUAUAAAACCCAGAAUUUCCAUAGGAAUCUCAUAUGUAAGCAGUUGGAUCAAAACAUUCAGAAUAAAGGUGUGUGUAAACUGAACCUGGUCGUUGUACCAUCUUCUAUUAUUGUAGCUAAUGUCAGAAACUUGAAGAAAAAGCCACAAUACAUAGGCAAUAUAUGGAGGAGAAACACUAACUAUAGUUAAUUUAUGCACAAGAGGAAUGCAUCUUAACAAACAGAUUUUAAUUAUAAAAGCAAUCAACUGGCACAUAUCAAACUACAAUUUUUGAUAAAGGUCCUCUGAUAGGGGCUCAUCAAAUAUGUGAUGACAAAGAUUAAAUUUCUUCCUUUUCAUAGGAACUAUCAGGGCAUCGGUAGCCUGGGCCCAAAUGUAAAAUCAAUGUGUAUAGUGAUUGAAUAGAUACUGACAGGUUUACCACCCUCUAGAAAGACAACUGAGAAGCAAAAGGAUCAAUUCAUAAAGAUGAAAUAGUUGUGCUUCAGAGAUUAGCUUUUGUAGCCACUGCUGAAAUCUUUGAAGCGUCGGCAACUUUAUCUGUAAAUAGUCAAUCGCUCUUUCCCUCCUGAGAUCCAAUCUCCUGAAGGUAGUGCUCAGCAUCCAAAGCAGCCAUGCACCCUGUGACAUUCAGUGGAAGGCAUUAUAUACUAAUCCUGUUGUUGUAGUCAAUAACUAAAAAUGAAGAAGAAGAUGAUGGAGGAGAAAAGGAAAAAAAAAAAAAAACUCUAGCUAAAUUGAAUGGAUAAGCUUACUGAUGUUAUGUUUAACUUACAUGACUAAAAAAAAUCUUUAAACUAGCAUCUCAACACAACAGAUUCAUGAGCUAAGCAUUAAUACUUAACACUGGCUCAAGCCUGGCCUUGGCCUAACCUGGAGUUGAGCUGGAUCCUCCUUCACUAUAAUCCAACUUCCUUAUCCCUAUACAGCCCGAAAGUGAAAUGUGCUUCUAGCUUCUAAGCUCAAGGCCUAAGAAGCAUAAUGACAGUGCCAACUCCGCGGUUGUGUUCUGAGACUCUUCGCUUACUCGGGAGUCAACACUAGGUUUGCUCCACUGGUUCUCAAUUCAAGAAAUUAUGCUUGUAAGGAAGGCUGAAUUCAUCAAAUUUGGGUGGACCAGGGCCGCAAAAGUUUGGGCACACGCUCAAUUGGAACAACUAACAAACACUCUACUUAAUGACUAAUCAAUUUAAGCAACCAAUGUCUAAUGCAUGCUUGUAUUUUUAGUAGUAAUAUGAUAUCUGAAAAGGCACACAGUAAGGCUUCUUUUAUAUGCCUGCUAACAGCAAGAUGAAUCUAGUUUCUUCUACACGAGAACAAUGAAACAGCCAAAAGGCUGGAGUUACAACCAAAAAUGUUAGAUCAUAGUGAAAGAAGCCAUUGGAAAGGAACGAUUGCUUGAGGAUUAGAUGAACAAAAGGUGAAUUCUUAAUUAAAGGGCAUGGCUAUUUACAGUAAAGAAAGAAACAAGUUCUUUGCGUUCCUGGCACCGGGUGGGUGCAUCUGCAUUCUGUUUGCUUCCCUACAUUUCCUACGAUGAGCAUAUCUCCCAUCCGACAUCUACUUGUAAACUGGAAGUGUGAGCUAUAACAUUAAAUGAGAUAUACAACACAAUACGACAUAGCAACAACGGCGAAUAACUUGACAGAAUCAAACCAGCAACAACAUGAUAGCAUUGUAACAAUUCAUAAGAUGAGCGGUAAGAAGGGAAAGGGCAAUCAAAGAAAGGGAGGCAUUUUGUUACCUGAUCCAGCCGCGGUGACGGCCUGGCGAUACUUCUUGUCCUGCACGUCCCCUGCAGCAAACACCCCUUUCACGCUCGUAUGCGUCGAUCCGGGCUUGGUCACGAUGUACCCAUCAGAGUCGAGCUCGAGCUGCCCCCCUAGAAACUUGGUCGCCGGCUCGUGGCCGAUAGCGAAGAAGAGGCCCGACACCUUGAGAUCGGACACCUCUCCGGUGACGACGUUCUUCACCUUCACCCCAGCCAACGGACCAUUAUCCCCUUCCCCGUAGGCUUCCACGACUUGGGAGUUGUAGAGGACCUCGAUCUUAGGGUUUGCGAGGGCCCUGGCCUGCAUGAUCUUGGAGGCGCGGAAUGUGUCGCGGCGGUGGACGAUGUAGACCCUGGAGCCGUACUUGGUGAGGAAGUUGGCCUCCUCCAUGGCGGAGUCGCCGCCCCCGACGACGGCGAUGGGGCGGUCGCGGAAGAUCGGAGCGGCGCCGUCGCACACGGCGCAGGCGGAGAUGCCGCGGUUCCAGAAGCGGUCGGAGCCGGGGAAGCGGAGGCGGCGGGCGACGGCGCCGGUUGCGACGAUGACGGCGUCGGCCUCGACGGCGGUGGAGUCGGAGAGGACGCGGAAGGGGCGCGAGGAGAGGUCGAGGGAGUUGACGGUCUCGGUGAGGAUGGUGGUGCCGAAGCGGAGGGACUGGGCGCGGCAACGGUCCAUGAGGUCGAGGCCGAGGAUGCCCUCGGGGAAGCCCGGGAAGUUCUCGACGUCCGUGGUGGUCGUGAGCUGGCCCCCCGCCGCGAUGUCGUUGGCGAGCCACCCCUCGAAGAGGAUCGGCCGCAGCUCGGCGCGCGCCGCGUAGAUCGCCGCGGUGUGCGCGGCGGGGCCGCUGCCGAUGAUGCAGAGCCGGGUGCGGCGGGUCACGGGGACGGCGCCUCCGUCCUCCAUGGGAGAGGAGAGAGGUGGUGGAUUAGGGUUUGGAGGAGGAGGAGGAGGAGGAGGAGGAGGAGGGGCGGUGCCGGUAACGGAGCGGGCUUUGUCGAGGAGAGCCGCGAGCUUGGAGCGGAAGCUCAUCAAGGGUUGGGGAUUAAAGAACACCUUCGGCCGCAUUGACCGUCAAUGUACUUUGCCGUGUUGAAUAUUGAAAUAUUCCGCUCCGAGUUUGAGCUAUCGUUGGGCUUAAAUUCGAUUGAGCCUUCCAUCUGAUGGGCCAAAGUAACAGGCCGGACCCAACAUAGGCCCUGAUCUUACCAAGCUUCGAUGAGCUCAAUGUCAUCUGGUUCUAAAUUGGGCCGAAUUUGAAGUCAAAUAGGCCGAACGAUGUACUAGGACCUAAUUGCCCCAUCCCUCUCCAGUUGCGGUUUGUGAACUCAACAAUCGAGCCGCCGAUGAUUCCUUCCUGGGGGAAGUUUCCUUGCAACUUCUGGGCAGAAUUAGUUAAUUCUAAAAUGGCUAAAGAAUUACGAGAAAUAGAAGAUAAACCGUAGCCACUAUUGACUUGAAAAAAUAGAUGAGAGUAGAAACAUGAAUUUUAAACGGCAUUACAUUUAUACACAUAUAUAUUUCGAGUAAGCGAAGCAAAAAAGUUGCAGUUUCUUAAUUUACAUCUUUUGUUUAACUUUCCUGACUAAUUUUCCAAACCGGGUUUCAGAACCAACAAGUACAGAAGAAACAAAAGCAGAAUUAACGAGGUUCCUGGAGAACCGUUGCAAACAUGUUUAAAAAGACAAAAGAGAGCUCGAAAUUUAUUGGCCGAUGGAGACUGCUGCACAUUCACUAAUCGGCAUCGACGUUCUCUUUAUGAACUCCAAGCAAUCUGUGAUUGCCUCCGCGUAGAAAGAGUUCGAUCUCACGCACAAUCCCGAUAUAAACUCCGGCUGCCCUUCCCAGACUACCAAAGCUCUUCUGUUGCUACUCCUGCUGCAACUCCUCGAUGAACUGCUGAAACCUGUCUUUAUUCCUUUCCUUACUCUCUGCACGCAACGAUUCAAGAGACUGAAGAGAGUUAGCAGCUUGACAACUCGCAGCCGGAGUACGGAGAAGCGAAUGGAACUCAACCGGAAGCCUCUCGUGGGGCGGUGCCAUCUCCGGCUAACUCUGUUGUAGUAACUCCGGCGACCCAUUUGACAACUAUACAUGGGAGAUUCGGAAUACUAUUUGGGUUAUAUAUUAUUGUGGGGCGAAGGAAGUGAUCAUGGGAACGUGUCACAUUUGAGAAGCACAAGAAAGGGUAGGUUUGAAACCGAUCUUCAGUGUGACGGGCGAUCUCAAGACACGCUAGAGAUUAAUUAGCUCAACAUAAUAAGGUUGGUAACCACGCAUUAAGAAAAAAGCUAGAGGUCUUUAACAUUAAUUAUCUACUGUGAAAGAAAUAUAUAUAUAUAUAUAUAUAGCUAGAAUACUCUCAAAAGUACCAUAGAGGUAGUGCUUUUGAAUUUUUAAUCAUUGGAUGGAGAGAUGUGAGGUUGAGUUGAUUAUGUUAGGUGAUGAUAGGUGAAAUAGUGUUUGAUUCAAAAACUAUUAGUAAUCAAGAAGUAGAUCUAAGGAUUAGAAACUUAGAAGCACCAAGAGGGUGGUGCUUCUAAAAGUAUUCUACCUCAAUUCUCUCUCUCUCUCUCUCUCUCUCUCUCUCUCUAUAUAUAUAUAUAUAUAUAUGUAUGUAUGUAUGUAUGUAUGUAUAUCCAUGUAUCAUAUUUACUCUAUGCUAGUUUACUUGAUGCACAGUUGACUAAAGUUUAUUUCAUCAAACAUUAUGUAGAAAAUACUGGCACUACUGUACAUCCUGAAUAGCUUAGUAGGACUAGGACGGAGUAAGUUGGCGAAAAGUCAACUUACAAUAUUAAUUCGCCCAUGUGUUAUAGAAGUAUCGAGUCUUUUGUGAUGGAUUAAUCAAUUAGCAAUUUAGGAUUAAAUGAAUGUACGCGUACAUAAUAUAUGAACUUUCGAAGAAGUAUCAUAAUCGACUAGCUCACUAGCAUACCUCUUUCGUAUUCAUAUUUAUUAUUGGUACCAGCAUAGAGCACAAUGAUCGUACGUACUAAGUUCUUACUAUGCGAUGAUUCCAUAUAUAUACAGAUGUAAUUAACAUAUAAAAUAAUAAGACUAAUUAGUGUCUUAGGUGAGGAUAUGUGGGUUGUCCAUCAACCCCGGCCCAAUCGUUUAGUCCUCUUAAUGCAACUAACUAGUGCUGACUGCUGAGGCGCGCACACGUGUGCACCGCCACCGCCUAUGUUAGUCGCGGGGUAGGUGUUUAAAUAACUCGACACUUGUGGCGAGCGUGCCCCGCACGCACGCCGUGCCAUGCGGAGAGCCCGUUCGCCUUCUCCCUUUUUUCGUAGUGCUCACACGAGCGAAAUCCGGGGAACAGCGGCCUCGAGCUCGACCCUUUUUUUGUCCCGGUUAGCACGCUAGCUUCGAUAGCGUGUAAAUCUGACACGUGUCGCCGGCCACACGUAUUCACGAUUGCGGAUCUUCAAUCAACGUGGAACCAUAGAGGUCUAAGGAGCUGGGUCUUACAAACAAGUAACAAGUAAAGCCGAUCAAGGCCCUAGCUCCGCAUUGGGCCUCGCAUUAUUAAAUGUUGGGCUCAUUUUCGUUUGUUUGCGUGUUGCUCGCGGUGAAUAAAAGGGCCGUAUGAGCCUUCACAGCAAAUAUUUACCCCUAGUAGUACGCUCUAUGUGCAAGUCUUUUCCUUUAAUUUUCUAACUCUUCGUUUGGAUCGGGUAUAAGCAAUAACUAGUUAUACCGGGAAUAAGUACAAGAAUGAAUUUUCGUAAGAACAAGAGUAUUUUUUUGUUUGGAUGAAAAUGUAAGUAUAAGCUGGAACUAGAAAAAUUAUAUUUGGAUAAAAAUCUGAGAAUAAUGCGGAAUAGUUGGUAGUUAUAGAUAGAAAUAAUAAUUUUACCUAUAUAAUUGAAUUUAACAUUUUAAACUAAUAAUUUUAAAUUAAAAAUUUUAACUUUUAAAUUUUAAAAUUAAAACUUAUAAUUUUCAAAAUUUAAAUUUUAAAUAUCAAAUUUUAAAUUUAAGAUCAAAUUUAAAUUUGAAAGAUAUGAAAUAUAAAAUUUUAAAUUUUAAAACUAAAAAAUUAAAUUUAAAAUUUAAAAAUUAUAAAUAUCAAAUUUAUAAUUUAAACAUUAAAAUUUAUAAUUUAAAAUUAUAAAUUUAAAUUUUAAAAAACUAAAUUAUAAAUUUUAGAAAUUAAAAUUAAAAUUAAAAAUCUCUCUCUCUCUCUCUCUCUCUCUACCCGGGAGGGGUGGAACAAGUGUUCUACCCCUUGUUCCACCCCAACUGGUACAAGGGGGGACUUGUACCAGUUGGGUGGAACAAGGCCCCCCUGAUAGAAAUAAUAAUUUUACCUCUAUAAUUGAAUUUAACAUUUUAAACUAAUAAUUUUAAAUUAAAAUUUUAACUUUUAAUUUUAAAUUUGAAAUUAAAAUUAAAACUUAUAAUUUUCAAAUUUAAAUUUUAAAUAUCAAAUUUUAAAUUUAAAUCAAUUUAAAUUUGAAAGAUAUAAAAUAUAAAAUUUUAAAUUUUAAAUCUAAAAAUUAAAUUUAAAAUUUAAAAAUUAUAAAUAUCAAAUUUAUAAUUUAAACAUUAAAUUUAUAAUUUAAAAUUAUAAAUUUAAUUUUAAAAAACUAAAUUAUAAAUUUUAGAAAUUAAAAUUAAAUUAAAAUUAAAAUUAAAUUAAAAUUAAAUCUCUCUCUCUCUCUCUCUCUACCUGGUACAAGGGGGGACUUGUACCAGUUGGGGUGGAAAAGUGCCCCCCCCCCCCCCCCCCCCCCCAUUGUGUUUGGGUACAAGGGGGGGAUACCCCUUAUCCCCCGUCUUGUUUCCAUUCCAAACAGGGUGUAAAGUAAUAAAAUUUUAAUUUUAAAUUUUUGAUACUAAUUAUUAAAAUUUUAUCCAAUUAUAUUAGAUAGGCUCACUAAUCAUUCCAAAUGAUUGUGUUUGGGAUAUGCCAGUUGAUUGAUUGGUACUAUCGAUAGUAUAUGUAAGUUGAUUGAUUGGUACUAUCGAUAGUACUCCUUUGUCGCCCUCCAACGAAGAUGUGCGUUUUCCACGUGGGUAUAUGUAUUCUAGCACUUCAAUUAUUGACCAAAAAAUUUCAAUAAUUUCAAUAAAUUUAUUAAAUUUUAAUUUCUUAAAAAUAAAAUACUUAACAACUGAUAAUCAGUAUAAUAGUUAAAUUUUAGGGCUAAUUUCAUAUAGCCUGCAAACAUAGUAAAUGUCAAAUAUAUUUCUACAAAGUUCAACUUUUAUAUACUAUAUCUGUAAAAGUUCUAAUAUUUUUAAAUAUAUAUACCUCUGAUUUGUUACCAUUCGAAAAUUGUUUAUAUUCUCAAUUUUGUCAUCACAAAUAUAUCUCUUCAAAAACCAUAACAAUAUAAUAUAAAAGAAUAAAAAUAUCAAAAAUUAAUUAGGGUUAAGUAUUUAACCUAUGGUUAACUAAAUUUUUCUAACGUAUUUUAACGGUAUGGACAUAUUUGAAAAUAUCAAGAUUUUUACAAAAAUAUAUAUAAAAAAUAAAUUUUGUAGGAAUAUAUUUGUUAUUUACUAUAUUUGCAAGAAUCUGCAAGAAAUUAAUUCCAAAUUUUAUUAUAUCCAAGUAAAACAAUUGAAAUAAUAAAAAUUAGAAACUAAAGAAAUAUCGAUAUAAUAACCCCCU